rnacentral:lncRNA from 1 species
GGCCAGUUGUAAGCUGAUGUGGACCAUUUAGUUAGACAGACCCCCCCGCACGUGACGUAUACCUUUCUCUUCCCCUUCAGUUGAACCAUCCCUCAUUUUCCCUCCGAAUAUUGCUCUGUCGCUUUCAAAGGUCGCUUUAUCUCUUAUUCCUCUGGAAAUAGUCAGUGUUUUUCCUUUGAGAUUUUCAUCGUGAGUUGUUUCGAACGGUCGACAACAGAGACUCCUCCAUUAGUAAGUUAUUUUCGUUUGUUUUGUUAUUUUCUCAAAGCUAGGGUUUGAAAUUUUGAUUUUGUAGUUUUUUAUGUCUGCGUGCUUCCAUUUUUUAUGCAUAUUGUGACUCUUUUACAUGCCUUUAAAUAAGAUUUAACCUGGUUUUUUAACAUGGAUAUUGUACAUGUCCAUGUUAGUGGGGGGAUAUGCUCACCGUGGACUCAAGGAAUCUUCGUUCACCCCAAAAAGUACUAAAGAGUUAGUGCAUUGCCUAUUGUUUAUCCUAUUCUUUAUUGCUGUGGUUAGGUAUGAUUACAAUCAAUCCACAGUGAUUCUAGGAAUCUUCUUUCACCUCAGGAAGCACUAAAGAAUAAUAAAAUCCUCAUAUAUAAAAUGGGUAGGUUAUUAAACAAUAGGUUGGGCAAAGUGUGGGACAAAAAUGGAGAUAUAGCGCACAACUGGGAGCAUACGAAAAAGACAGAGCA